CUACUCCUACUACCUUCAGCCUAAGAAGGGCUGUCAUGAAUCAUGUUGUCUCACUUUUAAAGGAACAAAAAAAAAAUAUGCGUCUGUUAAGCUGCAGAGAGACAGGCCUGAGAGAAUGUUAAAUCUCCCAUCAUUUUUACUUGCCAGUUUUACUGGCUGUGUGACCUGAGCUCCUUUUUUCUUUUUUUCUUUUUUUUUUUGAAAAUUGCUUUCAGAUUCUAUUUGUUCUCUUAGAGUUAGUCGCAUUUCAAGAAAGAGAAAGCAGAUCUGGUUGUACUCUUGUAUGUUAUCAGGAGUAAUCUAAAAGUGGGCAGUGAAGAAGACCUGUUAAGACCAGUGAUAUGAAUGGCAUAAGCAUCAUUCUUCUCACCUGGUUCAUGGCUCUGGUUCAUUCCCACAUUGUUAUGGAAGAGAAAACAGAGAGGAUCAAUGCUGGAAGUGCUGUACGGCUUCCUGAGCUUCUCCCACCAAUAUCCAUUGUAGAUUUAACAAAGUCAUCCCGAAGAGUAAGCAGGGUGGAUGCAGAAAGAAAUAAACUGGCCAAG